rnacentral:rRNA from 1 species
AACGAACGCUGGCGGCAUGCCUAAUACAUGCAAGUCGAACGAAGGCUUCGGCCUUAGUGGCGCACGGGUGCGUAACGCGUGGGAAUCUACCCUUGGGUUCGGAAUAACAGUUAGAAAUGACUGCUAAUACCGGAUGAUGACGUAAGUCCAAAGAUUUAUCGCCCAAGGAUGAGCCCGCGUAAGAUUAGCUAGUUGGUGAGGUAAAGGCUCACCAAGGCUACGAUCUUUAGCUGGUCUGAGAGGAUGAUCAGCCACACUGGGACUGAGACACGGCCCAGACUCCUACGGGAGGCAGCAGUAGGGAAUAUUGGACAAUGGGCGAAGGCCUGAUCCAGCAAUGCCGCGUGAGUGAUGAAGGCCUUAGGGUUGUAAAGCUCUUUUUACCCGAGAUGAUAAUGACAGUAUCGGGAGAAUAAGCUCCGGCUAACUCCGUG